ACCAUCACUAUCAACUGACCUGUACUUAGAAUUGUUUUUUCGUUAGCAAUGGUUUAUCGUUGCUUACAGGUAUACAUUAAAUCACCUAUAAAGUUCUCUACAUACACGGUCAAUCUUGACUUUCAAUCACGUUAAUUGUCAUUUAAGAUUGACCGUGUUUGAGGGGGAGGGGGCGGGCUUAAAAGUAGCUGCGCUCGUCCCCAUUAUCCUAGGAUGUCUUUUUUUUUAAUUUUAAUGAAAAUGAUGUCAAGCUAUUUUAACAAUCGUAAUAAGUAUACCAACCGUAGAUAGUAGACAACAGGUGAUAGUGAUUAACUUGUAUCGUAAACUUAAAUAGUACGUUCAUAUUAUUCUCGAGGUCGACAAAACCAAAUAGACGUGGUGCAAUCAUUUUCCCGUAUACCUAAACAAUUAAUUAGAGACGACUGUAAUUUAAUUAUUUUAUUUAAACAUGACGAGAUUAAUUUAAAGCACGUAUAUUGCGAUCAUUGCUCUAGCGAUAAGUCGUAUGUCGAAUUUAAGCACUUUUGUAUGGCUUGUCGGAAUAAAGGGAAAUUCGAGUUUGUCGCGAUUAGUAAAGAUAGCGAACGCGACAGCGGUAUUGUAUAAUCACGCACGGAGCCGGUUUAUCAGAUGAGCUGAUCGCGGCUAAAGAAAAUAUAAAACGCAAAUUAUUCGGCACUAAAGCGGGCAGAUGACACUGUUCGGGCAAAAGUUCUGAAAACUCCAGAAAGGACCAAUUAUCGAUCCAUUGAAUAAAAUCCAACGGCAAAACAAUUAUAAACCCACCGAAUGUAGCAUUACG